CCUGAUAAUCAAUUGAACUGUCAAGGAACCUCUCUGGAUUGAAGCUCUCUGCAUCAUUCCAAUGUUCGGGAUCUCUUGCAACUGCCCAUGCAUUAAUUAUGACUCUAGUUUUGACAGGUAUCUCAUAUCCAUUAAUUUCACAACUCUCUCGAGAUUCUCUUGGAAUUAAUAAAGGAACAGGGGGGUGCAGUCUCAGAGUUUCUUUGAUGACCAACUUUAAGAAUUUUAAUUCAUGAAUCAUGGUUUCGUCAGCAUUUCCUUUUCUACUAAAAAUGUCUCUCACCUCGGCUUGUGCCUUCGCCAUUACUCCAGGGUUUUUCAGCAUUUCUGCCAUGGCCCACUCCACAGCUGUAGAUGAUGUCUCACUGCCAGCUAUGAAGAGGUCCUGAAAUAGGAUUUGAUGAGAUGGGGAUUAGAAAAUUAAACAAUAUUUUAUUGUGAGAGUUGCAGCCAAUAUUAGGUGGAAAAAAAGGGGAACAAUUGCCAACUGGGGACUAAAUAAGCUGUCUACACCUCUGAAAGUUUGAUGUUAGUCGGCUCCAUUAAGGCUCUUGCCCAAGUGUGGAAAUGUCCCUUUCAGAAAAGGGCUCUUUUUCUAUAUAAACGCUGGUUUAUCAGAAUACAAGUUUAUCAUAAAGACAAAUUCUGAAUUUUGAAUUUUGAACUUUGAAUUUACAUUUUACUGCAAUUGAAGGAUGUUUAUUACUAUAGCUUCAUCACAAAUGAUUCAAGACUUUGAAUUAACUGGCCAAGAAUUUGAACGGAUAGGUGGAACUAUAUGGAGCUACAAAAGAAAAACAAAAUGAUAGAGGCAGAAGAUAAGAAUACUAACCAAGAGAAUCGCUUUGAUGUUGUCUGUAGUUAAGGGAAAUUCAAGGUCACCCUGCUUCUGAACUUUCAAAAGGACAUCAACUAAAUCUUCAUCUACCUCAGCCUCACUGAUCUCCGAUGCUUCACUUCUAGCUUUAUGUUCAUUGAUGAUGUUUUCAAGUAUCGUGUCCAGUUUUUUGUGAAUUUUCUCAAGUUUAUGCCUUAUUCCACUGACCACAUGAAGUAGUUUUAUGGAAGGGAACACAUCAGCAAUUGUGAAACCCCCUCCUGAGCCUGCAAAUUUCUCAAGAGUUACCGAGAAUGCUUCUUGGUCCUUGCAUUUCUUACCAAAGGCCGCCCUGGAAAUGAUGCUAAAUGUCAAAGAAAAAAUACUCUCAGUAAGAUUGAUUGAUACUCCCUCCUGUGAAGAGAUUGAUCUAACAAGAUUGAGCACCUCCUCUUCCCUCACUGAUCUGAAUGAUUGGACCCGCUUUGCACUUAGAAGCUCCAAAAUGGAAAUUUUUCGAAUUUGCCUCCAGUAAUCUCCAUAUGGGGCAAAAGCAAUAUCUGUGCAGUCAUAAGAUACGAUACUUGCCGCAAGAAUACAAGGCCUUUGAGAAAAGAUGAUGUCAUGGGUUUUCAUUACCUCUUUGGCCAUCUCUCUUGAAGAAACAACAAUGGCGGAAACUUCACCUAGUUGUAGGUGCAUCAGGGGUCCAUGUUUCUUGGCCAAGUUUCUUAGGCUGUGAUGGGGUAGACUACCAACAAGCUGGUGCAUGUUUCCAAUGAUGGGCAACUUCCAUGGUCCUGGUGGUAAAUUUGGAGCGGGAUGGGUGGUUCUGGAUGGCUUUCCUAAUCUCUUCAGCAGGUAAAUGAAUAGAAGGAAGGUGCAAAGGAUAGGGAAGAAGGAGAAUUGGAGCUCCAUGAGGAGAAUAGAAAUGAUCAGUAGAGAGGAUAGUCUUUACUGUCUUACCUCUUCCGGAAAAACUGUGCCUUGGAGUUCUGCUUGGUCAUGGGGUAUCCUUGUAUCAUUAAUAAAGAUGCCUUUCCCAAUCUGAUAUUAGUGGAUUAAAUGCUUUACCAUGUCAACUAAAACAUCACUAUUAUAGAUCUCACCUGUGAUAUAUGAAAGCAACUUCAAGGAAAACUCCAACAUGGUAAGUAUGAGUCUUUACACGGCAUUCUCUCUGGCUUAUUUGCCUAGUGGGGUAUUUAGAAGCUUGACAGGAAGAUUAUUUAUCUGAUGGUACACCAUUCUUUUCUUGGUUUCUUCAUUCCAAAUAUGUGACUAGUUCGAUUAUAAGCACUAGCAGACUGAAUGAUACUGGCCGUUUAUGUGGAUCAAUUACACUUUCAAUUUCUGUCCGCCAUAGAUUCAUACUUCAUUCAAAUGGUAGGUGUUCCGUCUUUUAUCAAGUAUUAGUCAAAUUCUUGUAUAUGACUGGUAAAUUUCUGACCCAAAGUGGUGGCAUUUUCAAGAAAGUUUGUUUAAUUUAGGUUAUUUGAUUCCAAGAUGUAAAAUAACUUUUCACUUUAUGAAAAUAUGGAAAAUAAUUAUUUUUGAACAAAAAUAUUCAUUAUCAAUUUUUUUAUAUCUAUUUUAGAUCAAAGUAAUUAUUAAAAAUAUAACCAAGGUAUUUAUAUCUAAUUGAGGUUAUAUCUUUUUUUUUUUUUAGAAAUCUAGGGUUAUCUUUUUUAACAUAAAUUCAAUUUUAGAAAAUCAAUGAGCUUUGAAGCAACUUGUUUUUAGACUGAAACAUUUUCAAGGUGUUACUUUUUCACUUGUCACUUUUUCAAGAAAAUUUUAUCUUAAUAGAAAACUGAAUUUUUUAUCUUCGUAAAAAUAAUUUUGUUUUUCUCAAGUUCUUAAAAAAAUGAUUUUUUUUUUCUUGAUGAAAAAGCAAUUCUUCUUUUUACUUCUUAAUUUGAGCUUCUUCAAAGAGUCAAACAUUAAUACAAGAAAAGUGAUAUCUAGUAACAUAGUUUUAGUUGGGGCCAGCUAAAUCCACAACCAAAGCAUAUAUGUAGCCUCAUAUUCAGAUCUUUUUCUGCCACUUUUUGUUUGCCACUAGCUGUUUUUUCUUGUUGUUGAUCAUAAAAGUCUACUAUGUUUAUGGAUUAGAAACGUGCAAUUUGGCUUGCUUUUGGUCUAUGACUUGCUACUACGUACCUACCAUUGGAGUCCUACACUGUGUGAUCAUCCAUCGAUCCCCUUUUUGGUUCUUUAGUGUUUUUUGUCAAGUCCUACAAUGCUAAUUCUGUCAAGUGACUUUGUUGUGACAAUAGAAUGGCAUGUCAAUCGACUAUGCUUAUUUGUUUGUUUUUUUUUUUUUUCUAAUAUGGGUGCCCCCCAUUCUUGUCAAACAUUCCAUCUUUUAUGUGUGGUUGCGGAUGUGUAAUGUGUGUAUACAUAUUAUAAACAGAUAAAGACAUUAUUUUCUAGAAAUUAGAGAAUGAGAGGGCAAUCAAUCAAGGCAUUUCAAUGUAGGUAGUCGAUUAACACUGUUCACCAAGAUACAAAGGCCUGUAGCCUCCUCCAAUGAACACUACUAUGUUAGGUUUUAAUGAUCAAAUUGGAUAAUUCACAAAGAUGGGCGUCUCAUUAAGUUUUCUGGGAAAUAUUUCCAGUUCAAACAAAAGAUUAAAUGGCAUAUGAGGAAAUGAAAGCAAAGACUGUGAGUAGUCCUUCCUAGUUGCAGAAAUGGUGUUCCCCCUGAAAAGGACUAUGCAAUAUGAUACAUUCUCAAGGGGAAUUUAUCAAACUAACUAAAUAGAGACAGGAAAGCAAAGUCGGAUGAAAGUUUCAUUGGAAGCUGCCAUUCAGAAAGUGGGAUAUAGAGAAGACAUUCCCCAUUCCCCUCUAAUUUCUGUAACAGUCUUGAUGGAUAGACUUGGAAGGACCUAUAUAUAGGCUUACAAACCAAGUCUAGAACCAGUGCAAAAAGUGGCUGAGAAAGCUACCUGCACCAGCCAAAUGCUUAAGCUGCACCCGGGACUUUCACCAAGCCCACAGGCUCAAAACAAGGGCAUGAAUUGUGGGUAUGAGAAAGAGCAUAUUUCACAAUCCAAUUGGCCUGGAUUGUGGGUCAUAUUUUAGGGUUUAUUUUGAGAUCUUUAUGACCUCUUUUAAGUCCUUAUAAUAUACUAGUCUUGCUAGAAUAUCAGGAAUGUCUUUCAUUUAAGGGUUUCUUGCAUUACAAUUUACAAGAAAAAAAGAAGCCUAGAUUUUUUCUCUCUCUAGUAGGCUAAUCAGAAAUAUAUAUCAAUAAAAGCACCUAAAUAAAAUAGGGGGAUGCAACCCAUGUUCAGAUGUUAUAUUCCAGCAGUGAAAAAGCAGGAUAAAAGAAAAACAGCAAAUGGCACACUCCGAACUAUCCCUUCCCCAAGCUACCUCCGAAGUUGAUAUAUAAAGGAAUGCUUACUAUUCAAAAUGCUCAUUAGACCACAAUAACAAGGCAUAAGAAACAAGUUACCUACAACCAAAGUAGAAGCUUGGAUUAGGUGACACACAGGACUGGAUUACGUACCCUACUUUUGAAAUUCGUAAAUGCAGAUAUUUUUUAGCCAAGAAAAUGAUUUUAUAGUUUUUUUUCCCCGACGAGGAUGCCUUUAAUUGUGUCAAGUGAUUGGAGGGCCUUGAAGCAUCAGAUAGGAUCAAAUAGAUUCCAUGGGACAUCCUCUCCCAUAGUUUUUUUUUUUUUUAUCUCAUCUUCUUCCCGAAUUUUUUCCGCUUUCCAGUCCCAUCUCUUCUCUUUUCUCUCUCUCUCUCUCUCAAAAAAAUAAAAUUAAAAAAUAUAUAUAAAAAAAAAAGGAGAAAAAAAGAAAAAAAAAAUACGAAAGAAUAAUUACUUUAGUCAAGUCUUGCCAACACGACUGGUAAAUUUCAUAUUUUUAUUUUUUGUAGUGCAAUAAGCUAUCAUUUCAUAGUCACCCUGCUGUUUUAUAAAACCAUGACUUCAAGAAAAAUCAAGGACAUGCUGAACUGGUUGUCUAAAAUUUGGCCAAAUGCUUAUUGAAAUGAUUUUCCCCCUUCAUGGGUUUUCAUUACGUCUUUUCCAUCUCCCUUCAAGAAACAACAAUGGUGGAAGCUUCGCCAGGCUGUAAGUGCAUCAGGGUUCCAUGUUGCUUGGCCAAGUUUCUAAGACUGUGAUGGGGUAGACUACCAAAAAGCUGAUGCAUGUUUCCAAUGAUGGGUAACUUCCAUGGUCCUGCGGGUAACUUUCGAGCAGGUCCGUUUGUUCUAUAUGGCUUGCCUAGUCUCUUCAGCAGGUAAAUGAAUAGAAGGAAGGUGCAAAGAAUAGAGAUGUCCAGUAGAGAUGAUAAUCUCUAUUGUCUUACCUCUUCUGGGGAAACUAUGCCUUGGAGUUCUGCAUGGUCACGGGGUAUCCUUGUAUCAAUAAUAGAGAUGCCUUACCCAAUCAGAUAAUAGUGGAUGAAAUGCCUUUGUCAAGUCAACUAAAAUAUUCACUAUUAUAAACCUCAUUUAUGAUACAAGAAAGCAACUUCAAGGAAAACUCCAAUAUAGUAAGUAUGAGUCUUCACACAUCAUGCUCUCUGGCUUAUUUGACAGGAGAUUAUUUAUCUGAUCGUACAGCAUUUUUUCUUGGUUUCUGCAAUCCAAAUAUGUGACAGGUUUGAUUAUAAGCACCAGCAGACUGAAUGAUACUGGCCGUAUAUUUCUAAAUAUCUUAAAAUAUAACAAGAGCAAUUAUAUUAAUGUAACUGAGGUCAUAUUUUUUAAUUUUUUAGAAAAAUCUGGGAUAUAAUUUUUUUUAACAUCGAUAUUCCUUUCAUUUUUGGAAUCAAUGAGUUUUGAAAUAAAUUGUUUCUAGACUUAAAACAUUUUAAAGGUGUUUCCUUUUUCACUUAUCACUUUUUUAAGAAAAUUUUGUUUUAAUAGAAAAUAAAUUUUUUUUCUUCCUAAAAAAGUUUCAUUUUUCUCUUCUCUAAUUCUUGAAAAAUAAUUAUUUUUUUCCUUUUUUUGUAAUAAAUAUUAUUUUUUUUAAAAAAAUCAUUUUUUAUUCAACUUUUUUAUUUUAAGAAAAUAAUCAUAUGUUAAUUAUUUAGAGUAAGAAUAGCAUAAUAAUUAUUUUCUUCCAAGAUUGUGAAACUAUUAAUUUUCAAAUAUUGUAUUUUAUUUAAUUGACAAUUUUGUUCCUUUUUUUUACUAAUUAGAUGAGACUUAUUUUCUUAUAUCUUUUCAGACUCAACUCAACUUUAAAUUUCAUCGAAUUCGGAUUUGAAUUAUUCUGAACCAUAAAAUUUAAGGUAAUUAUCUAUUUGUGGUUGAUAAAACUUUUAAAAUAGCUAAUAUAAAAAAUUAAGAAGAUAAUACAUUAUAUUUCCUAAUUUGAUUUCUAUUUUGUUUUUUUUUUAUUUCAAACAUUGUUUUCCAUAUGUUUUAAAAUUGAGUUUAUUUCAAAAUUGGUGUUUGAUUCUAAAUAUAUAUUUGCAAUGUUUUAGAAUUAAAAAACUUUUCAUAAUUUUUUUUUAAAAUUAUAAAUAUAAAUAGAAAUAUUUUAUUUAAAAAGGUGAAAUUUUAUGAACCCUAAAAACUUAUAAUCAUCCAUCAAAAGUUUAAUCAUUCUUAAGAGUAACUUUUGUCUUAAAAAUAAUAAUAAUAAUAAUAAUAAUAAUAAUAAUAAUAAAUAAAUAAAUAAAUAAAGAGAAACUUCAAGGGAUAAGAAAAAGUGGAAUUGGAGCUCCACGAGAAGAAUAGAGAUGAUCAGUGUAGAGGGUAGUCUAUUGUCUUACCUCUUCGGGGAAAUCUGCCUUGGAGUUCUGAUAGGUCAUGGAGUAUCCUUGGAUAAUUAAUAGAGAUGCCUUAUCUAAUCUGAUAUUAGUGGGUGAAAUGCCUUUAUCAAGUCGACUAAAACAUCGAAAUCUUACAUUUAUGAAAGCUCCAAAAAUAGUUAAGAACGAGUCUUUACACAUCAUACUCUCUGGCUAAUUUGCCGAGUGGGGUAUUUAGAAAGAUUGACAGAAGUUGGUUUCUUCAACCCAAAUAUGUGACUGGUUUGAUUAUAGGCACUAGCAGAUCUAGACUACAUGAUACUGACCGUUUAUAUGGGUCGAUUAUACUUUCAAACUUUGUCCGCCAUAUAUUCAUGCAUCAUUCAAAUGGUAGAUGCUCCAUCUUUCAUCUAGUGUUAGUGAAAAUUUUCUCUUCUCAAGUUCUUGACCAAGUGAGGGUCACCACUCCCACUCUCAGAUGGUCAGGCCUCUCCGCCACCAUGGUUACACCAUUUAUUAUUAUAAUGAAUAUUAUAGAAAAUAUAUUUUUUUCAUUUUUUAUGCAAGUCUUUUUAUUUUAAGAUAUUUUGAAUAUACUAAACUGUUCAUUUUGUCUUUCAUAAUCAUAUCUUAAUUAUAUAAAUUAAUAUGCAAAAUAAGAACAAAUAUAAUAAUAAUUUUUUUGUAAAAGCAAACUUAUCUAAUUACUAACCUUUACAUAUUUUUAUAAUGCAAAAACAAAAAACUAAAUAUUUGAUAGCAUUUAGACCUUAAUAAAAAUAAAUAUUUUGAUUUAGAUAUUGGCAUUAAGCUCUUCCAAACUAAGUUAAAUUAAGGUCUAGUCAAAUUUAAGAUGAGCAAACAAAUAUCAUCUCACUGUUACAUUUGCACAAAUGAACCCUUCUUUUAUAAUUAAGUAGCAUUUCCUAAAAUCAAAGGAAAUUAAGCCAAUUAGAUCCCACAGGCUUACUAAUUAGCUGGCCUUCAUACUAGAGCUUUUUUGAGAAGGUGGGAAAAUCCUAAAACUUUCUAGGAGAUAACCAAGUUUCCGCAGAGUUGAAUUUUUAUGGAAUUUUCCAAAGAUAUUCAAAGUUCUCUACAGUUGGAUGGAAGUCCCAAGAGUGGAGUUGGCAUAUGUAGAUCAUUCUCUGGGUGCAUGUAGAAAGAUUUGGAGGAGGUUUUGGAACUCCAAGAUUUCUAAGAUCUUUCUUUGUGCGUUUAAAAAUACAUAAAAUCCUCGUUUUGCAAAGACAUCAAGGGUUACGAAAAAUGUCUCAAAUUCCUAAUAAGUAUAAAUUUCAUUUUUUGUAAGGAAUAUUAUAUAAAAUAUUUCUUAAGUUAAUAUAUUAUUAUAACAUUAGAUUUCAUUAUAGAAUAAGGAAAGUUGUUGAAAUUUUUUUUAUAAAUGUUUUAAAUUAUGAGGGGGAAAAGUCAUAAAAUGGAGAUGGACUUGUAAAAAUUAUACGAAGUGGAUAGAGAUGUAAGGAAGAAUGAGAGACACCUAGUGAAGCGAGGAGGCUUAUGCUUCAAUGUAUGGAUACAAGGAAUGGGAAACAUGAAAUGUUUUGGGAACCUAAUAGUUAUGUCUGGUUUUAUCCUCUAUAAUAUAGUAAAAAGAUUCUCUCUUAUCUAUGGAUAUAGGCAUAGUUGGUCAAACUACAUUAAAACUUCUUGAAUCAUUAUAUUGGUUGUUUUAUCUUUAUAUUAUUAAAUUAACAUUGUUUGCAUUAAAGUUUUUGUUGGCACAACACUUAUAACUAAAUAGUUGAAACCCUCAUUUGGAUAAGGUACAAUCUUGUAAUCCUUAGUGCAAUAUACUUGCAUUAUUUCAAGCUUUCAAGUAAAGUUUAGUGUUCAACUUUUAGAAAUUAGCAUGGUCAUGAGAUCCAUGAAAUCAAGAUUGUGACAACCUUUUCGUACUAUUAAAUGUCACUAGGUCCAUUUCUAAGAAAAACUUUCACCUACAUUGUCCAUAUCAAAUGUCACAAAAACAAUUUAACUACUUAAUAGGUCAACAAUAAUUACAUUUUUAGAAUUGUAGAUCAUCAAGAUUAUUUCACAUGGCAAACUCGUGUUAUGCAAGCUAAUCAAUACCAAACACCAAAUCAUAAAGAAAGCUAUAGAUUUGAAAAUAAUCCCAAAUUCCAUGAAUAUUUAAUCAUGGAUGUUGAUUAUGUUUUCUUGCAACACAAUUAUAAGAGAAUGCAACCAUGAAGUACAAUUAUGGAUAUUAACCACUUCAUUAUGAGAUUACAAGAAUGUAGGUGGAAUAAUAUAAAUAAAAAUGCUUUACUUAUUUAAUAAAGACAUAAGAUGUGCUAAUAGAAAAAUGGGAUAAUAUGAAAAUUAAAAGGUAUGCUUAUCGGUAAUGGAAAUUGAUAUAAACAUUCUUGUGGUAUUCUACUUACACCUUAAUAGAUAUGACCUAAAGGAUUCAAUCCUAUCACAGGGAGCCACCAUGAUUGAAGUGGGCUAUAUACUAUCACAACCACCCAUUAGAAAACUCCACCACUACUACCACUCUUCUCCAUUAAUGGCCAUAACCGCCACUCCCUCAGCCAGUUACUACUUCUACCCUCACUACCAAAAAAUAUUUUCACUAUCUCAUUGAAAUCUCUUGAAGAUUCAAGUCGGCAUUGCCAUUACCGCCCUUGAACGCUAAUCAUUACCUUUCAUGGCACAUCCCUCUUAAGCUAUAAAAAGGGAGCCUUGCUACAAUUCAAUGUGUCAAUCUUCGUAAUGGGGGUGUGAAUGGGUAGAAGGAGAAGAAAAGAGAUUAGGAAUAAGUAUUUUGUUAGGAUAAGGCCAUUAAAAAUAGAAACAUAAUGUAAUGAACUUGAUACAUUAUUUUAUUUGAUAUUAGUUCUUCUAUCCUAUUUACAUUACCUAUGUAUUUAUUCACUUGCAAAAGCUUUAAAGCUAUAUCAUUGUAUACAACUCAAGUGCAUUAUUAGUUAUAUGGAAGAUUUGAGUCAAAGGUUCCUUGCAAAGUGAUAAGUUUUUCAUGGCAACUAGUUCAUGGACUUGAGCAAUCCAUUACAAAUCAUAGUAUAUACACUGCCUCCAAAGUGGUGGGAUGAUUGCUCUUAGUCAUUGAGAUGGAUUUCUUAUGGCAUGUGUACCAAUAUAUAUGGUUACACAUAUUAGGAUAUAAAGUCCUUAAAGGCAUGACAAGAUGUAACAAUGAAAAUUUUCAUUAAUAUACUAUGAUUUUAGUUUCACUUCACUAUCCUACUUUUUGCAUUAAUACUUAUCAAUGCAUUCAAACCUUAAUCAAUUACAUUGUACAUGACUUGAGUACAUUAGGAGUUGUAUAGAAAAUUCAAUUCAUGAGUUCCUUGCAAACUAAUGAGUAGUAUUCAUAGUUAGCUCAUGGGCUUAGGCAAUCUAUUUAAGGUUAUAAUGCACUUGAGGCUUUAGUACACUAGGAAGGGUUUCCCUUGGUGAGUGCACUAAUGUAUAUAUGCACAUUAAAUAAGACCUGUGGUGAAUCAUGACAUUGCCUAUUGAGUUUUUAUGACCUCAUGGCCAAACUAUUAUGUUGCGUGAACACUCAAUUUUGAGAGAAUAUUAGACUAAUGUUGAGAUUUUCAAUGUCUUUAACAUAUUCGUGAGUCAUACAUUCCCUAUAGAUUAAGUCGCUAUUGAUUAAGGCAUGUGGUAACAAGUAUGCUUAAGAAAGACAUCAAGAUAUUGUUAGGAUAGAGCCCUUAAAAGCAUGACAUGAUGUAAUAAAAUUUGGAAUUUAUUAUUGACAUAGUUCUAGUUUCACUUUUAUCUAUCCUUAUUCCAUCCAUUAUACUUCAUGAGCAUUUUGGCCCACAUCUCUUAUAAUGUAUAUGACUUAGGUAUAUUAGGAGUUGUACAAAAUAUCCAAGUUAUGAAUUCCUUAUAAGUAGAUGACUUAUUCACAACCAAUUUAUAGAUCUAGGAAACCCAUUAGAGGUUAUUGUACACUACCUCCUAAUUGGAGGGAUAGUUGGUCUUGGUCAUCGAGAUAAGGUUCCAAUGAUGUGUGUACUAAUGUUUAUGGUUAAACAUUGAAUAGGACCUACAAUGAAUCAUAACAUAAGGCUAUCAAGUAGUCAUAACUUAACCAAGAUGCUUCAUUGUGUUUUCUCUCAAUUUUAAGAGAAUAUUGAGUUUAUGCUAAGUUAGUAGUGUUUUUGACCUAUGAGUUAUAUUCUAAAGUGAUCAUAUAUUCCCUAUGGAUUAGGUCACUAUUAAAAAAAGUUAGUAGCAAUAGAUAUUAUCAAUAAAGAUAUCAUGAUAUCUCAUCAUAUUGAAAUAAAGUGUCCCCUUAAGUGAUCCAAAGGAAAGUGUGUUCAUGUAAACUAUAGUCAUAGUAGCUUCUUAAGUGGAACUUAUGUGAGCUAAGAUAUGUCAGCUAAUAACACAAUUAGAGAACUCAAUUAGUGAAUUUAUAACUCAAGGAUAGUAGAGGUAGUCUUGAGAGGUUAAUAGUUUACACAUCAUUAAACUAUGGACACCAAUUCAUGGGGAGACUAUACGCAAUGGAUAACAAGUCAUGAACUUGAGCACUUAAUAUUUCAUUGUUAUUUAUAUAGGUAUUAAAGUGCAAUUAAUUCUCUAUGAUGAGAUAUUGAAUCAACUUCAAAAUUGGAUUCUAAGGGAGCCAAUACUGUCAUAUGGGCCCAAUGGUCCUCACUCAAGCUCAUAUAAAUUGAUGGCAUAGUUUAUGAUGGUUGGAUUAGCAUUUGGUUCACUUCUAUGCAUAAGGAUGUUUGGUAAUUAAGUAAGGUUACAUAGGGAUUUGUGAAUAGCAUAUCUAGAUUGAGCUAAUUAAUUAAUUGGAUAGCCAUGUUGAGUUAGUUAAUCAAUGAAGAUCUUUUUUAGGCUAGAUUAGUGAUUCAAGUCCUUGAUUAACUCAAGUCACUUAAAUCUAGUAGGGAACCCUAUGAAUACCCCCUUAAGGGUUGGGAUUUCUAACUUUUUUAGUCUUUCAUCAUCUAAAGAGAGUUUUAGCCUCCAUCCUCCUAAACACCCCAUCGUUUGUGCGCCUAGAAUAAAAGUAAAGUCAUCAUGACAAAAGAUCAUGGGUGUACGAGACUUCCAACUAUUUUGACUUGGUUCUUCAUCAAAAGGAAAGAAUUUAGGAAUGUUCAAAUUAGUGGUGAAGGUCUCUACCGUUAAUUUAUAUCCAUAUACUUUAAAAAAUAUCUUAUUUGCUUCUGAUGCAUAAGAUUUAAAGGCCUAUAAAGAAAAUCAUGCGCCUAACCUAACUCUAGGAUAGGUAAUAGAGAAAUCUAGGAUUCCCUACAGAUACAUCUCAUGGAUCUAAGACAAUAUGUCCCUUAGGGUGAUCCUAAGACUUGUGAUUUUCAAAUUUGUGGUCCUCUUAAUUCCUUAAGUGAAAAAAUUGACAUAUGUUCUUUAUGAACUAGAAUAUGUUAAUUGAUCACAUAAUAGAAGGACCUCAGACUUGAUGACUGUAAAGAUAAUCUUAAGAGGUUAAUAGUUUCUACCUUAUUACAUUAUAGAUUUCAAUCUAUGAAAAGUCUAUAUGUAGUAGUUAGUAAGUCAUAGACUCGAGAAAUUAAUGAAAUUAGAUUGAAUCAAUUUUCAUCUCAAUUUAAUAUCAUAGGAUAUUAAAGUGUAUAUGGCUAUGUUGAAUAGAGUAUUAGGUCAAUUUUAGAAUUAGAUUAUAAGAGAACUAGUAUUUUCUUAUGGUUUUACUAAUCUCUACUCGAGCUUAGACUCUUUAGUAGCAUGUACUUUAAGAGAAACUCUAUAUAGCAUGGUGAACACAAGUUGCAAACAACAUUGCACUCUAAUUUCUAUCGUAACACAACUCCUACUGAGUGUUCCUCAAAUCUAGUACAAAGCUAGGGCACACUAAAUAAUGAUCUUCUCUAUUUUUCAUGGUUUUUCAAAAGAAAGGGGAAAUUGACAGAAUACAAAGCACUUUGCCUUUUUUUUUUCUUUCCAAAACUAAAGAAAAACCCUUCAAAGAAAUGUAUAAUUUUUUGUCCCCAAUAUCAAAGGAAACGUUGUUCAUUUUUAGGUCUUAACAAUCAACUAAACAAAUAUGUAAUGGGUAGAACUCUUAUUUAUUGAGAAAGAAAAUAAAAUAAAACAAAUAGUAUGAGCCAAAAUUACAACACAGUUUCUUUGAGAUCAAAAUAAAAUAAAAACAAAUAGUGUGAAGCCAAAACAUAAUUUAUUCAGGCCCAAAAUAAGGCUUAACCACAUGGAGCCCAAAGUUGGUUCAUUUGGUUGCACUUUUGAGGGCCCAAAUCCAGGGAGGAUCCUCCCCCGUUCUUGUGAUGGAUCAUGCACCUAGUUAAAUGGUUUUCAAAUUAAGCAUCCUGAAAUUGCACUGAAUGUGCUUGGACCUCAUGCCUGCUAGUAGGCCCCCACUUUCUCUUCACAAAUUCAUGAGGCUUGGAAAGUGGGAUUUAAUCAAAACCAUUUUUUAGCUCCAAGCUUCCCGUGUCAGACAAAGUAAAUUCAUGCAAUAUUCCUAUAAUCUCCUAUGAAUUGCAUGAGUUGACAGAUAUUGAACAAAAAAAUGGGUAUGAUGGUUGGAGGAAUACGAGAAUUCAAUGCAUCAAAAUUGGUGUCUUCAUGCUGUGAACUACUGUUAGGAUAACGAGUUGUCAGCCACAAAACUUUGGUAUGAAAAUAAAGUUCCAUGAACCAAAAUGUGGAAAAGUGUGGUGUGAUGGGUGGGUUAUUCUUGUAAAUAUGGGGUUAUUUUAACCCUUUGACCAAAUAACCCAAAAUAACAAAAAUAUUUGUUUCCUGUCAAAGUACCUAUUAAAUAUAUAACAAGGGCAAUUAAAUUAAUGUAAUUGAGGUUAUGUUUUUUUUAAUUUUUUAGAUAAAUAUGAUUAUUAUCUUUAUUCACAUAAAUAUUCAUUUAGGUUAUGUUUGAUUUCUGAAAAAUACAAAGGAAAGAAAAUGAGGAAGAAAAAAUAAAUUUAAAGUUAAUAAAUUAUUUUUAUAUACUUUUUCAAAUUUAUUUAACUUAUUUUCUUAGAUUAAAUAAUUUUAAAAUAUAUAAAUUUUUAAUUAAUUUUAAUUAUAUUUUAUUUUUCACAGUAAAACCAAAAAAAAAAAUCAUUUCUCUUACAAUUUUUUUUCUUUUCUUAGUGUUUUUUGGAAGCUAAAUUUAGCCUUAAUUUUUGGAAUCAAUAAGUUUUGAAAUAAAUUAUUUUUAGACUUUUUUUUUUUGACGAUUAAAUUAUUUUUAGACUUAAAACAUCUUAAAUGUGUUUUCUUUUUCACUUAUCACUUUUUUAAGAAAAUUUUGUUUUAAUAGAAAAAUAAUUUUUUUCUUUGUGUUGAUAAAAAAAAAAUAUAAUAAUCCUCUUUUUCCUUUCAAUUUGAGCUUGUUCAAAGAGUCAAAUAUAAAUUUUUAUCCUUUCUUCCCUUCCACCGUGACUAGGUGAGGUCCACCACUCGUGCUCCUGGAUAAUCAACUACUCCACCACCACGAUUAAUAAUUUAUUAUUGUAAUAAAUAUUAUUUUCAAUAGGUUUUUUUUUCAUUUUUUAUUCAACUUUUUUAUUUUAAGUUAUUUAAAAUAUAUUAAAUUACUAAAUUUUAUUUUUCAUAAUCAUAUGUUAAUUAUUUAUGAUAAGAAAAACACAAUGAUUAGUUUUUUUGAAAAUUGCGAAAAUAUUAAUUUUCAAAUAUUAUAUAUAUUUUUUUUUUAUUUAGUUGGCACUUUUACUCAUUUUUUUAUUAAUUAGAUAAGAUUUAUUUCCCUUUGUUUUAUCCUAUUCAAGACAACUUUAAACUUCAUCAAAUUUAUAUUUAAUUUAUUCAGAAUCAUAAAAUUUAAGGUGAAUAUAUAUUUAUGGUUAAUAAAACUUUUUAAAUAUUUAAUAUAAUAAAAUAGGAAAAGAAUAUUGUAUAUUGCCUAAUUUGACUUCUAUUAUAUUUUUAAUUUCAAAAAUUAUUUUUUUUUUAAAUUGUGUUUACCUUUAAAUUAGUAUUUGAUUCUAAAAUUAGAAAAUUCUCCAUAAUUCUAUAAAAUAAAAUAAAAAGGUUUUACUAGUAUAAAUAAAGAUGUUUUAUUAAAAAAAAUGGGUGCAUUUUUAUGAACCUUAAGAACCUAUAGUCAUACAUCAAAAGUUGGAUCCUUGAGUUCUUAAACUUUUAAUAUAUUUCUUGAUAGUAAUUUUGGACUUCAAUAAAAUCCCAAUAAAGGCUUUAGGGUAAAGGGAUCCGCUAAGAAACACGAGAAAGAAAGGGAAUCAAAGCUCCACAAGGAGAUAGGGAUGAUCAAUGUAGAGGUAGUCUCUAUUGUCUUACCUCUUCCGGAGAAACUGUGCCUCUUGAAUUGGCGGUCAUGGGUUAUCCUUGUAUCAAUAAUAGAGAUGCCUUACCAAAUCUGAUAUUAGUGGAUGAAAUGAUUUAUGAAGUCAACUAAUACAUCCACUAUUAUAAAUCCUACAUUUAUGAAAGCUCCAAAAAUAGUUAAGAACGAGUCUUUACACAUCAUACUCUCUGGCUUAUUUGCCUAGUGGGGUAUUUAGAAAGAUUGACAGAAGAUUAUUUAUCUCCUUGGUUUCUUCAAUCCAAAUAUGUGACUGGUUUCAUUAUAGGCACCAGCAGACUGAAUGAUACUGGCCAUUUAUGUGGGUCGAUUAUACUUUCAAAUUUUGUACGCCAUAUAUUCAUGCUUCAUUCAAAUGGUAGAUGCUCCCACAGGCUUACUAACGAGCCCUUUAUUUAUAAUUAAGUAGCACUUCCUAAAAUCAAAUAAAAUUAAGCCAAUUAGAUCCCACAGGCUUACUAAUUAGCUAACCUUCAUACUAGAGCUUUUUUUGAGAAGGUGGAAAAAUCCAAAAACUUCUAGGAGGUAUCCAAACUCGCGCAUAGUUGCAAAUAUCUGGAAUUUUCCAAAGAUAUUCAGAGUUCUCUAGAGUUGGAUGGAAAGUCCCAAGAGUGGAGUUGGCAUAUGUCAAUAGGUCAAACUUCAUCCCUUUCUAAAAAAAACUUUCACCUUUAUUGCCCAUAUCAAUGUCACAAAAACAAAACAAUUUAAUUACUUAUUAGGUCAACAAUAAUUACAUUUUUGGAAUUGUUGACCAUCAGGAUUAUUUCACAUGGCAAAAUUGUGUUAAUAGAAAAAUGGGAUAAUGUGAAAAUUAAAAGGUAUGCUUAUCGGUAAUGGAAAUUGAUAUAAACAUUCUUGUGGUAUUCUACUUACACCUUGAUAGAUAUGACCUAAUAGAUUCAAUCCUAUCACGAGGAGCCACCAUGGUUUGAAGUGGGCUACUCUCACAACCAACCAUUAGAAAACUCCACCACUACUACCAUUCUUCUGAACUAAUUGCCAUAACUGUCACUUCCUCGACCAAUCGCUACGACUACCCUCACUACCAACCAACAUCUUCACUAUCUCAUUGAAAUCUCUAGAAGAUUCAAGUCAGCAUUGCCAUUACCGCCCUUGAAUGCUAAUCACUACCUUUCAUGGCACAUCCCUCUUUAGCUAUUAAAAAAGAGCCUUGCUCUCACUCAAUGUGUCUAUGUGAAUGGGUAGAAGAAGAAGAAGAGGGAUUAGUGAUAAGUAUUUUGUUAGGAUAAGGUCCUUAAAAGUAGAGACAUAAUGUAAUGAACUUAAUAUAUUAUUGUAUUUGAUGUUAAUUAGUUCUUUUAUCCUAUUUACAUUACCUAUGUAUUUAUUCACUUGCAAAAGCAUUCAAGUUAUAUCAUUAUACGUAACUUGAGUGCAUAAUGAGUUGUGGAAGAUUCAAGUUAUAGGUUCCUUACAAAGUGAUAAGUUGUUCAUGGAAACUAGUUCAUGGACUUGAGCAAUCCAUUAAAGAUCAUAGUAUAUAUACUACCUCCAAAGUAGUGGGAUAAUUACUCUUGGUUAUCAGGAUAGAUUUCCCAUGGCAUGUGUACCGGUCUAUAUGGUUACACAAGCCCUUAAAAGCUUGACAAGGUGUAACAAUGUAAAAUUUCAUUAAGAUAUUAUGAUUUUAGUUUCACUUUACUACCCUAUUUUUUGCAUUAAUAUUUAUCUAGCAUUCAAGUCUUAAUUAGUUGCAUUGUACAUGAGUUGAGUGCAUUGGGAGUUGUAUAGAAAAUUAAAUUCAUGGUUUCCUUGCAAGCUAAUGAGUGGUUCAUAAUUAGUUCAUAGACUUAGGUAAUCUAUUUAAGGUUAUAGCACACUAUCUCUAUUUGAGGCUUUAGUACACCAAGAAGGGUUUCCCAUGGUGAGUGCAAUAAUGUGUAUAUCACACAUUGAAUAAGAGUUGUGGUGAGUCAUAACAUUACCUAUUGGGUCAUUAUGACCUCACCAACUAUUAUGUUGCAUAAACUCUCAAUUUUGAAAUAAUAUUGAACUAAUGUUGAGGUUUUCUAUGUCUUUGACAUAUUGGUGAGUCAUACAUUUCCUAUGAAUUGAGUUGUUGUUGAUUAAGGCAAGUGGCAACAGGUACGCUUAUGAAAGGCAUCACGAUAUUGUUAGGAUAAAGUUCUUAAAAGCAUGACAUGAUGGAACAAAAUUUGGAAUUUAUUAUUAACAUAGUUCCAAUUUCACUUUUAUCUAUCAUUAUUCCAUGCAUUAUACUUCAUAAACAUUUUGGUCUACAUCUCUUAUAAUGUAUAUGACUUAGGUGUAUUAGCAGUUGUAUGGAAGAUCCAAGUUCUAAGCUCCUUGUAAGUAGAUGACAUGUUAACAAUCAGUUUAUGGGCCUAAGCAACCCAUUAGAGGUUCAAUCAGUUUAUGGGCCUAGGCAACCCAUUAGAGGUUAUGGUAUACUAACUUCUAAUUGAAGGGAUGGUUAGUCUUGACUAUCGGGAUAAGGUUCUCAUAGUGAGUGCAUUAAUGUUUAUGGUUAUGCAUUAAACAAGACCUAUAAUGAAUCAUAGCAUAAGAUUAUCAAGUAGUCAUGACUUAACUAAGUUGUUUCAUUGUGUUUUUAGUCAACUUUAAGAUAAUAUUGAGCUUCUGUUAAAGUUAGCAAUGGUUUUGACCUAUGAGUGAGAUCUUAAAGUGAUCAUGUAUUCUCUAUGAACUAGGUCGUUGUUAAUAGAAGUUGAUAGCAAAAAGUAUUUUCAAUAAAAGCAUCAUGAUAUCUAAUUGGAUUGAGACAAAGUCUCCCCUUAGGUGAUCCUAAGGAGGUGUGUUUAUGUAAAUUAUGGUCAUAGUAGUUCCUUAAGUGGAAUUUGACAUAAGAUCUUUAUGAGCUAAGAUAUGUCAACUAAUCACAAAAUAGGAGGAUUUGCAAUUCAAGGAUAGUAAAGGUGGUCUUAAGAGGCUAAUAGAUUUCACUUCACCAUACUAUAAACACUAGUUCAUAGGAAGAUUACAUGCAAUGGAUAGCAGGUAAUGGACCAAGUACUUAGUAUCUCAUUGUUAUUUAUAUAUGGUACUAAAAUGAAAAUGAUUCUCAAUUGUGGGAUAUUGAAUCAACUUCAAAAUUGAAUUCUAAGGGAGCCAAUACUAUCUUAUGGCUCCUAAUGGUCCCCACUCCAGCUCAUAUACAUUGAUGACACAAUUUAUAAGGGUUAGAUUAGCUCUUGGUUCACUUAUGUGCAUAAGAGUGUUUUGGUAAUCAAGCAAGAUUACACAGGGGUUAGUGAACAUUAUCUCUAGAUUGAACUAAUUGAUUAGUUGGAUAGCCUUGCUGAGUAAAUUAAUCAAUCAAGAUCCUUUUGGAGCUAGAUUUAGUGACCCAAGUCUCUUGUUGACUCAAGUCACUUAAGCCUAAUAGGAAACCUUAUAAAUACCCCCUUAGGGGUUAGGGUUUCUAACUUUUCAAUCUUUCACCAUCUAGAGAAAGAGAGUUUUAGCCUCCACCCUCUCAAACACCCCAUCGUUUAUACGCCAAGAGUCGAGGUAGAGUCAUCAUGGUAGAAAAUCGUAGGUGUGCAAGACUUUCAACCACUUCGAUAUGGUUCUUUGUUGAAAGGAAAGGAUUAAGGAAUGUCCAAAUCAAUGGUAAAGGUUUCUAGCCAUUAAUUUAGAUCUAUAUAUAUAUAUAUAUAUAUAUAUAUAUAUAUAUUAAAAAUGCCUUUCUUUGCUUCCAUUGUAUAAGAUCUACAGGCCUAAGCAGAAAAUCAUGCACCUUACCUAAUUCUAGGAUAAGGAAUAGAGAGAUCCAAGAUUCUCGAUAAAUAUAUCUCAUGGAUUAAGGCAAUAUGCCCCUUAGGGUGAUUCUAAGACUUGUAAUUUUGAAAUAUGUGGUCAUGUUAAUUGCUCAAGUGAAAUUGAUAUAUAUUCUUUAUAGGCUAGAAUAUAUUAGUUAAUCACAUAAUAGAAGGACCUCAGACUCGAUGAUUAUAAAGGUAAUCUUAAAAGGUUAAUAGCUUCUACCGUGUUACAUUAUGGACUUCAAUCUAUGAAAAGUCUAUUUGAAGUGGGUAGUAGGUCACAAGCCUGAAAACUUAAUAAAAUUAGAUUGAAUCAAUUUUCAUCUCUAUUUAAUAUCAUAGGAUAUUAAUGUGCAGUUAGCUAUGUUGAAUAAAAUAUUGGGUUAAUUUCAGAAUUAGAUUAUAAAGGAAUUAACAUUUUUCUAUGGGUCCUAGUGAUCUUUGCUCAAACUUACACUCUUUGGUAGCAUGUACUUUAAGAGAAACUUUGUACACCAUGAUGGACAUAGGUUGCAAGCAACAUUGCACUCUAAUUUCUGUCAUAACACAACUCCUACCAAGUGUUCCUCAAAUCCAAUACAGAAUAAGGGCACACUGAGUAAUGAUGUUAUCUAUUUUCCAUGGUUUUUUAGAAGAGAAGGAAAAUCGAAAAAAUACAAAGCACUCUACUGUUUUUUUUUUUCCAAAACUAAAGAAAACCCUUUAAAGAAAUGUAUAAAACCUCUUAAACUUUUGUCCUCAAAAUCAAAGGAAACGUUGUUCAUUUUUAGGUCUAAACAAUCAACUAAACAAAUAUGUAACGGGUAGAACUCUAAUUUUGUGAGAAAGAAAAUAAAAUAAAACAAAUAUUAUGAGCCAAAAUUAAAACACAGUUUCUUUAAGAUCAAAAGAAAAUAAAAACAAAUAGUGUGAAGCCAAAACAUAAUUUAUUUAGGCCCAAAAUAAGGAUUAACCACAUGGAGCCCAAAGUUGUUGGCUCAUUUGAGUGCAAGGAUAAAAAUAUCGGAAAUUAUGGAUAUAUUGGUACUUCGAUUUUACGGAUAUAUCGGAGAUAUAUCGACGGAUAUUUUGGAAAAAAAUAUCAAUAGACGUAAAAUUGAUCAAAAUUUAUAAAAAUAUAAGAAAAACUUCAUAAAAAAAUAAUUAAAAGUAUAAUAGAUAUUUUAAAGUUGUUUUAUUAAAGAAUUUGAUAUAUGUAUAAUAUAAUUUAUCAUAUUUGAUAAUAAUAUCAUAUGCAUCGAUAAAAAUAUGAAUUUAAUAAGUGUACAUUUAUUAUUAAAUUACAUAAAAAAUUAUUUCAUAAUAAUAUUAUGAUAUUUGAUUAUAAUAUGUCUAAUUUUAAAAUAUAUAUUAAUAUUAAAAUUAUGAUCCAUUUAAUUCAAUUGUAUUAAAUAAUAUAAAAUAAAUUAUGAUAUAUGUACAAUUUUUUAAUAUUUAAUUAAUUUAUUAAUGAUAUUAAAAACACUAUGAAGAAAAUUAUUAUGAUAAUUUUUAUAUUUUUGGUAAUUAAUUAAAAGAAAUUUUGUAUUUAAUUAUAAAAUAAUUAUAAUUAAUUUUCUCUCUAAAAUUUUCUUUUAAAUUUUCUUUAUAUGAUGACUUUGAAUAUAUAUAUUUUAGUGCAUUACAUUUAAUAAGGACAAAGUUGCUCUUGUGGUAAGAUGAGUUGAACCACAAAUCUUUUGUUUGGGGUUCGAGUACCCUCAACAACAAAAAAAACAAAAAGGCAUUUUUGACCAAAUAUCAUAUCCAUGGUCUUGUGAUGCACCUAGUUAAAUGGCUUUCAAAUCAAGCAUCCUGAAAUUGCACUGAAUGUGCUUGGACCUCAUGCCUGUAGGCCCUACUUUCUCUUCACAAAUUCAUGAGGUUUGGAAAGUGGGAUUUAAUAAUAUAAACCAUUUCUUAGCUCCAACCUUCCCAAGUCAAACAAAGUAAACUCAUGCAAUGUUCCUAUAAUCUCCUAUGAAUUGCAUGAGUUGACAGAUACUGAAAAAAAGAAAGGAAUGGUGUUUGGAGAAAUACGAGAAUUCAAUGCAUCAAAAUUGGUGUCUUCAUGCUGUGAACUACUGUUAGGAUAUAGCGAGUUGUUAACCACAAAACUUUGGUAUGAAAUCCAUGAACCAAAACGUGGAAAAUGUGGUGCGAUUAACUUUCAAGAUUGAUAUCAAUGAGUGCUUGAACACACAAGGAUCAUAAGGAUGUGUGAUUUAUGAAAUGGGAUCUAACCAUUUCAAUGUUCAAUGCCUCUGCUUCUCAAACACCAUAUCAUAACUUUGGGGUAAAAUCUCCAUUGAGGUCAUCAAUUCCAAAGGAAAGUGCUAGCAUGAUUAAUUCAUAUUCUUUACUUUAAACGUCUACAUCAAACAACAUUUUACAAGCUCAACAUCAGCAAAUAAGUAGUACUAGCUUACAUGGGCAUUGCAUUUCAGAUAAAUAGCAUCGAACCAUACAAAAUAAGCAUCCACUACGUUCUUUUUCAACCGUCUUAUUCAACAGGCAGAGGACGAUAAGUAAUGGGAAUUAAGUACAGAUCUUGUUUUCUUUUAGUUGAUGUGCGAAAGCCCUCAGUCAUGUCUAACUCUUCAUGCCUUGCUCCAUUUGGAAGUUUCCAAUCAAAAUGGUAGAGUAAUUGUGCUAGUGCAAGCUCAACAUUGGCCAUACCAAACAAUAUUCCUGGGCACAUCCUCCUUCCAGCACCAAAUGGGAUGUAUUCAAAAUUAGUACCUUGAUAAUCAAUUGAACUGUCGAGGAACCUCUCUGGAUUAAAGCUCUCUGCAUCAGUCCAAUAUUUGGGGUCUCUUGCAAUUGCCCAUGCAUUAAUUAUGACUCUGGUUUUGACAGGUAUCUCAUAUCCAUUAAUUGCACACCUCUCUCGAGAUUCUCUUGGAAUUAACAAAGGAACAGGGGGGUGCAGUCUCAGAGUUUCUUUGAUGACUAACUUCAAGAAUUUUAAUUCACGAACG
rnacentral:lncRNA from 1 species